rnacentral:misc_RNA from 1 species
CCCUAGUCCUGAUUGCAGCAUUUGUCUGAGCUCAUUUUUAAUGAUUUUUGUGGCGCGGCUUCGCCGCGCCACAAAAAUCAUUAAAAAUAGCGAGUGCGGAAAGCAGGAAAUAAC